UGCAUAUUGUUUUCUAUUUUUCAAAAAUAAAUCGGAGCAAAAAUCAAGCCAAAAUACUCUAAAAAUUAAUUUUUUUAGCCUUUGGUGCACGGUGGACCGACCGCUUGGUCCACGGAUUCAAGGGCGUGGUCCGCAAAAGCGUUUCAUGGUGCAUGGUACAGUCUAUGAUGGGUGGAAGAAAAUUUUUGUGAUUCGAUGGUGGAGAUUAAUCC
rnacentral:lncRNA from 1 species